rnacentral:sRNA from 1 species
AAUUUAAUAGUAUCAGCUGUCUGGUCAAGUAUAUUCUCCAGCUAUAACUAAGGGUUAGCUUGUUUGUGAACAGUUUUUCUUUUAAUUGUUUUGAUUGGAAAUCUACUUGAAAUGCAUUACACAUCCUUCCUGCCUUUUUAAACAGGGUACUGACUAUAACCUUUUCUCAAUGACUCAGGAUCACCAUUGUGACCUUGUCUUUCCCCAGUGUCUGCAUAGUGACCCGCUCCCCACCAGGGUCUCCCGAGAUAUAGGGGAGGCUUGCCCCUGCCCUCGAUAGUCCCAAACCCCAGCGGUUGGUGAGUCUGCAUGUCUGGUGUUGCAGUUGGGCAGCCUCCUCCCUCAAGGUCAAUCAUAAGGAAAAAUGAUAGCUCUCUCUUAUCUGCACAGUUUUUUCAAACAAUCCCCCUCUUCCCUAUUUCUGCUCCAUCAAGGGAUGGAAACCAAACUUGUUGGAAUUGGAUGGGAGUGGGACCUUGAGGACUCUAUUAUGAGAAAACUACACAUGUUUUGUGCUGAGGCUUUAUCAUUUUUAUUUUGACGUUGGCUCCUCUGAGGCCCCCUUUUCUUCUUGGUUCUAGAGUAGAUUCUAAAGGUAGGUAAGGCAGUGGAAUGGUAUAAUAUUAUGGGGAGGAAUCAUAGAAAUUCAUGUUUGUAUUACAAUAUAUGGCUUUCAAAACAUUUUUACAUGCAUUAUUCUAGCUGAUGACCAUAACAGUCCUUGGAGGUAAGUAGGGGAGCCGUUAAUAAUCCCAUUUUAUAGAUAGCAUAACUAAGGCCCAGAGAAGUUUUUUUUAACUCUUCUUUUACAGAAAAGUUUAGAUGAUAUGCACAAAUUCCAAUUUGUGGGAGAUCCAGUAAAAAUCCAUGCAGAGUGACUGAAGAGCUUGAAAAAGGAGGUGGAGAAAGGAUUUGCUCAUUCAUUCUUGAAUUUGUCCAUUCAGCAAAUAUUUACUGGGCACCUACUAUAUGCUAGGUACCAUUUUGUAUGCUGGUGAUACAAUAGAAAAUAGGCCAAACAAAGUUCCUGUGUUCAUGGAGCUUAUGUUCUAGUGGGAUAAGAGAGGCAACACACAAACAAAUAGUAUAUAAUACAACAUCAGCUAUUGGUAAGUGCUAUUGGAAAAAGAAGAGUCAAAAGGGAGCAAAUCAUGGAGUUUCUUAGCUACAUGGGUAAGAUGAACCACACUGAUUUUUUAAAAUAUCAGAGUUUUUAAAACUUGAAUGAAAUGCCCCUUUGAAGACAGUGAAACUUCGUGAAAAGAGAAAGAAUGGUGCAAAUAUGCAUCAUUGUAGAUUACUGUUUCUUCUAACAUUUUGGGUUACUGAUAGAUCUGCCGCAUUUGACUUUGCACCUUAGCUCUAAGAUGGUUGCAUGUGCCCAGGAAAAGGCCAUAUUGCCACAAGCAUCACCAGGGGAGAAAUAGAAACAAUAAUAAGUUUCUCAAGUCCCCCAGAUAGAGAUCUCCAUCCCUACUGAGAAUGCCCUUUGAUGCGCAGUUGCCAAAAGGAGAGAAGGAGAGAGGAGCCUGCUUAGAACUGAUAGCUAUCACUUACAUCUCAUUGGAGAACCUCUAUUGUUUUGUAUCAUAAAACUGCAACAAUUGUAGGACCAUCAUGGAACCUGCUCAAUCCAUUCGCUGAAAAUUGUUUGAAAGUGUAACACUUGACUACUGUGGCUUUGGGUUGUCCUCAUUGUUUUUCAAAUUAAUACCUUGUCAUUGUUUCAGCAGGUGUUAAGAAAUGUUACUAGCAUCCCAGGGGCCAAGCAUUGGCCCUUUGCUUGAUAAUUGUUUGCUUUGUAUCAGGAAAAAAAAAAAAAUACAGUCCUACUGUUUCUAAACCUUCCUCAUUUUCACCCUGGAAAUUACACAGAAGUGUUAACUAACUUCAAUUUACAGUGCCUGACAGUCACGUCUAGUAGAGAAAUGAUACUUUGUGAUCUAAGGUAAAUCACAGUAAUGAAAACUAAUCUUUUUAGUUAUUAGCAAACAUAUAUAUCUACUGCGGAAAUUUGAGGGGUUUGUGGCCACUCUCCUAAUGACCUAUAUUACAGUGUUUUAAUAGGUUUCUUUGGAGAUAACUUUGAUUGUGACAUCUCAAGCAGUGUGCUUUCUGAGUUUCUUUUUUUUUUACUUCCCUACAAUAAAUCAUUUCCUAACUGCAGGAUGAACCGCUGGCUUACCUUUCCAGAAAAUCUGAUUUAUUUAAAAAUCAAAUCCUCUCCUCCUUCCCCUGCCUUUUGUUUUCUUUUCUUCUUCUUUUUAGUCCUUGGACUUUAAGGCUGCACUGGAAGCAAAGACAAAUGGUUUAGUGUCUCCUCUGAGUGAACUAAUUAAUUAGCAAAUACUAUAUCCACUCAGGUUAAACUAUACACACACACACACACACACACACACACACACACAAAAUGAGACUUGGGUAGGAAGGGGUAUAGAUUGAAAUACAAUUUUUUUUUCUUAGUACUUUCUCAAUUUUUUAAAACAGGAAAAAGGAGUGGAAAGUUCCAUCACCCUUCUGAUAAUAUAUUAAGAACAGUGGAAAACAGUAUGUUUGGGUAUUCUUUAAUGCAGGUUUCAAUCCAAGGCAAAGUCAGAGAACAUCUCUGGAUUAUGCAGUAAAGUUUUAUCCAUUAGAUAAAUUUGCCAGGAAAAAAUUUAUCAUAGAAAAAAUAUUUAUGAAAUCCUACAGUCUCAAUGCCCUUCUUAGCCAGGCUUGAUUUCUGGAAAGAGGAAGCACUUCUAAUAUCAAUUCCUACCAGCCCAGGCUGUCGACAGCAAUCCCAUGCCUACAAAGGUGAUCCAGCAGAAGCAUCUCAGGGUGUGUGAGGGCAAGUAGAGGGUAAAAGUGAAUGGUAAACAAGGAAGAGUGGCUGUCUGAAAAUUUGUUUUCAUGUUUUCCUGUUUCUUUACAGAAACCCGGGAUGGACGUGGCCGACGCCUACGUGACUUUCGUCCGCCAUUCUCAGGAUGUCCUGCGUGAUAAGGUCAAUGAGGAGAUGUACAUAGAAAGGUUAUUUGAUCAAUGGUACAACAGCUCCAUGAACGUGAUCUGCACCUGGUUGACGGACCGGAUGGACUUACAGCUUCACAUUUAUCAGUUGAAAACACUAAUUAGGAUGGUAAAGAAAACCUACAGAGAUUUCCGAUUGCAAGGGGUCCUAGACUCCACCUUAAACAGCAAGACCUAUGAAACGAUCCGGAACCGUCUCACUGUGGAGGAAGCCACAGCAUCAGUGAGUGAAGGUGGGGGACUGCAGGGCAUCAGCAUGAAGGACAGCGAUGAGGAAGACGAAGAAGACGAUUAGACCGUUUGGUCCUAGAGUCCGCUGGGACAGAGUCCUGUAAUCAGUGCAUGUCCUUAGUCUGUUAGUUAAACCCAUUAGGGAAUUUUCUGUCAACUACCAUGCCCAUGAGAUGUUUAUCAAUACAACUGCCAUUUUAGCUAUGUGGUACCAAGAUUAGCAAAUGACCUUCAUAUCCACUGAUUUCCUGAUGUCCAUGUCUAUAUGUUUACAAGCAAUAUGGAGCACCAUUCUUUAAAUACUGUUCAUGGAGAAUACAUAGUCUAACCACUAGGCGUGUCCCUGUUAUCAGCAAAGAUCAGUGAUGCUUCAUUCAUGUACUAUGUAUGCAUUGGUGGUAAAUGGAUGUGAGGGCAAGUACACCAAGCACAUUCACUUUGUUUCACGUAUGUGGAUGCCAGUUAAUUAAAUGAGUACAUAAAUAAAUUAAUUAAAACACAUAGAUCUGCUUUGUGUUUUUAUUUUUAUUUUUUGAAAAACAAAAGGCAAGUCUCCAACAAUCAACUUUUGAUUCUUUCUGAUUCUUUCCCCUAAAACUAAAAAAUGAACCCCUUGUGUCCUUGUUAACCCAUCCUUUCAUUUACUUAUAUAAUUAGCCAAAAAAAGGAUGGCUACAUACCAAUGGAUUGAUUCUCUUAAUUGCCACGGCAAGGGGGCAAUCCUAUCAUGACUUAACAUCAAGCGCACAGUUCAAAACUACUGUCUUCUGUCAAAGUUUUCUCCUCUUAAAUGUUAUUUUGCUUUUACGUCUCAACUGUGUAUGUAAAAAAAACGAAUAUUUAAAUUACAACCCUAGACUAAAAAUGUGUUUAUAAUAAGAUGUGGAUAUUUCCUUCAGUAGAUUGUAACCAUAAUUUAAAUUAUUUUGUUCCACACUGUUUUUUAUAUCUGUCAUGUACAUUGCAUUUUGAUCUGUAACUGCACAACCCUGGGGUUUGCUGCAGAGCUAUUUCUUUCCAUGUAAAGUAGUGGAUCCAUCUUGCUUUUGCCUUAUAUAAAGCCUACAGUUAUGGAAGUGUGGAAAACUGUGGCUUCUCAAUAAAUAUUCAAAUGUCCUAAG